CCUGUGGAAUGGAGGAACAGCCAGAAGAAUUAGAAGCGACCCUGCAUGUAUUGCCCUUGUUUGGGUGA
rnacentral:lncRNA from 1 species